UACGAAGGUGGCAAGCGUUGUUCGGAUUUACUGGGCGUACAGGGAGCGUAGGCGGUUGGGUAAGCCCUCCGUGAAAUCUCCGGGCCUAACCCGGAAAGUGCGGAGGGGACUGCUCGGCUAGAGGAUGGGAGAGGAGCGCGGAAUUCCCGGUGUAGCGGUGAAAUGCGUAGAGAUCGGGAGGAAGGCCGGUGGCGAAGGCGGCGACCUGGGACGAUACUGACGCUGAGGUGCGAAAGCGUGGGGAGCAAACAGG
rnacentral:rRNA from 1 species